rnacentral:rRNA from 1 species
GAUGAACGCUGGCGGCGUGCCUAAUACAUGCAAGUCGAGCGAACGGACGAGAAGCUUGCUUCUCUGAUGUUAGCGGCGGACGGGUGAGUAACACGUGGAUAACCUACCUAUAAGACUGGGAUAACUUCGGGAAACCGGAGCUAAUACCGGAUAAUAUUUUGAACCGCAUGGUUCAAAAGUGAAAGACGGUCUUGCUGUCACUUAUAGAUGGAUCCGCGCUGCAUUAGCUAGUUGGUAAGGUAGCGGCUUACCAAGGCAACGAUGCAUAGCCGACCUGAGAGGGUGAUCGGCCACACUGGAACUGAGACACGGUCCAGACUCCUACGGGACGCAGCAGUAGGGAAUCUUCCGCAAUGGGCGAAAGCCUGACGGAGCAACGCCGCGUGAGUGAUGAAGGUCUUCGGAUCGUAAAACUCUGUUAUUAGGGAAGAACAUAUGUGUAAGUAACUGUGCACAUCUUGACGGUACCUAAUCAGAAAGCCACGGCUAACUACGUG